AUUGAACGCUGGCGGCAGGCCUAACACAUGCAAGUCGAACGGUAACAGGAAGCAGCUUGCUGCUUUGCUGACGAGUGGCGGACGGGUGAGUAAUGUCUGGGAAACUGCCUGAUGGAGGGGGAUAACUACUGGAAACGGUAGCUAAUACCGCAUAACGUCGCAAGACCAAAGAGGGGGACCUUCGGGCAUCUUGCCAUCGGAUGUGCCCAGAUGGGAUUAGCUAGUAGGUGGGGUAACGGCUCACCUAGGCGACGAUCCCUAGCUGGUCUGAGAGGAUGACCAGCCACACUGUAACGGAGACACGGUCCAGACUCCUACGGGAGGCAGCAGUGGGGAAUAUUGCACAAUGGGCGCAAGCCUGAUGCAGCCAUGCCGCGUGUAUGAAGAAGGCCUUCGGGUUGUAAAGUACUUUCAGCGGGGAGGAAGGGAGUAAAGUUAAUACCUUUGCUCAUUGACGUUACCCGCAGAAGAAGCACCGGCUAACUCCGUG
rnacentral:rRNA from 1 species